GCUGCAGUGGGGAAUUUUGGACAAUGGGCGCAAGCCUGAUCCAGCCAUUCCGCGUGAGUGAAGAAGGCCUUCGGGUUGUAAAGCUCUUUCGGCAGGAACGAAACGGCGGGCUCUAACAUAGCCUGUUACUGACGGUACCUGCAGAAGAAGCACCGGCUAACUACGUGCCAGCAGCCGCGGUAAUACGUAGGGUGCGAGCGUUAAUCGGAAUUACUGGGCGUAAAGCGUGCGCAGGCGGAUUGUUAAGCAAGACGUGAAAUCCCCGGGCUUAACCUGGGAAUGGCGUUUUGAACUGGCAGUCUAGAGUGCGUCAGAGGGGGGUGGAAUUCCACGUGUAGCAGUGAAAUGCGUAGAGAUGUGGAGGAACACCGAUGGCGAAGGCAGCCCCCUGGGAUGACACUGACGCUCAUGUACGAAAGCGUGGGUAGCAAACAGGAUUAGAUACCCUGGUAGUCCACGCCCUAAACGAUGUCAACUGGUUGUUGGGGGAGUGAAAUCCCUUAGUAACGAAGCUAACGCGUGAAGUGAC
rnacentral:rRNA from 1 species